rnacentral:rRNA from 1 species
AGUCGUAACAAGGUCUCCGUAGGUGAACCUGCGGAGGGAUCAUUACAAGUGACCCCGGUUUACCACCGGGAUGUUCAUAACCCUUUGUUGUCCGACUCUGUUGCCUCCGGGGCGACCCUGCCUUCGGGCGGGGGCUCCGGGUGGACACUUCAAACUCUUGCGUAACUUUGCAGUCUGAGUAAACUUAAUUAAUAAAUUAAAACUUUUAACAACGGAUCUCUUGGUUCUGGCAUCGAUGAAGAACGCAGCGAAAUGCGAUAAGUAAUGUGAAUUGCAGAAUUCAGUGAAUCAUCGAAUCUUUGAACGCACAUUGCGCCCCCUGGUAUUCCGGGGGGCAUGCCUGUUCGAGCGUCAUUUCACCACUCAAGCCUCGCUUGGUAUUGGGCAACGCGGUCCGCCGCGUGCCUCAAAUCGACCGGCUGGGUCUUCUGUCCCCUAAGCGUUGUGGAAACUAUUCGCUAAAGGGUGCUCGGGAGGCUACGCCGUAAAACAACCCCAUUUCUAAGGUUGACCUCGGAUCAG